UACGUAGGGGGCAAGCGUUGUCCGGAUUUAUUGGGCGUAAAGAGCGUGUAGGCGGCCAAACAGGUCAGCUGUGAAAACUCGAGGCUCAACCUCGAGACGUCGGUUGAAACCGUUUGGCUAGAGUCCGGAAGAGGAGAGUGGAAUUCCCGGUGUAGCGGUGAAAUGCGUAGAUAUCAGGAGGGACACCUGUGGCGAAAGCGGCUCACUGGACCAUAACUGACGCUGAUGCACGAAAGCUAGGGGAGCAAACAGG
rnacentral:rRNA from 1 species